rnacentral:rRNA from 1 species
AAACUCAAAUGAAUUGACGGGGGCCCGCACAAGCGGUGGAGCAUGUGGUUUAAUUCGAUGCAACGGAAGAACCUUACCUACUCUUGACAUCCAGAGAACUUUCCAGAGAUGUUUGGUGCCUUCGGGAACUCUGAGACAGGUGCUGCAUGCUGUCGUCAGCUCGUGUUGUGAAAUGUUGGGUUAAGUCCCGCAACGAGCGCAACCCUUAUCCUUUGUUGCCAGCGUCCGGCCGGGAACUCAAAGGAGACUGCCAGUGAUAAACUGGAGGAAGGUGGGGAUGACGUCAAGUCAUCAUGGCCCUUACGAGUAGGGCUACACACGUGCUACAAUGGCGCAUACAAAGAGAAGCGAACUCGCGAGAGCAAGCGGACCUCAUAAAGUGCGUCGUAGUCCGGAUUGGAGUCUGCAACUCGACUCCAUGAAGUCGGAAUCGCUAGUAAUCGUAGAUCAGAAUGCUACGGUGAAUACGUUCCCGGGCCUUGUACACACCGCCCGUCACACCAUGGGAGUGGGUUGCAAAAGAAGUAGGUAGCUUAACCUUUCGGGAGGGCGCUUACCACUUUGUGAUUCAUGACUGGG